AAUAGCUUUCGCUUCGCUUGCACUAUUGUUCCUUCUGUGUAUCCUGAUAGUUUGCACGUGGAUUGGAUGCGAGAAGGUAUGUGAAAAGCUUUCAUGGCUUCGAAGUCACCGUGGAAAUACUCCUGGAACUGCAGGUUUUGGGACCUCAACUACUGUGAGUGAAUAAGUCCAAAAAGAAAUGACAAGAGGAUAGAAACUUCCAGCAGUCUGACUUCCUAAGCUAUCUACACAGUACUUGUAUUGUCGAAAGGGCAGAAGGCAAGAUCACAGAUCAUUCAAUGUUAGGUCACUGCCAAACUUUGUCUCGUCAAUGCACUUUGCCUCCUACCAUAAUGAACAUCAUCUUUUUUCCACUUGGAUUCUGUAUUUGAUCAAUUGACACGAAACAUGAAAGAUAAUAACCUUCCAAUGAUGGCUGAAUUGUACUG